GAGACACGGCCCAUACUCCUACGGGAGGCAGCAGCAGGGAAUAUUGCACAAUGGACUGAAGUCUGAUGCAGCGACGCCGCGUGGAUUAUGAAGGCCUUCGGGUUGUAAAAUCCUUUACGGGGUGACGAGGAAGGACGGUAGCCCCGGAACAAGCGUCGGCUAACUACGUGCCAGCAGUCGUGGUAAGACGUAGGAGGCAAGCGUUAUCCGGAUUUACUGGGCGUAAAGCGUCUGUAGGCGGAUGAGUAAGUUGGGCGUGAAAGCUCCGGGCUCAACCCGGAGAGGCCGUUCAAUAGUGCUGAUCUAGAGGAGGCCAGAGGGGAGUGGAAUUCCUGGAGUAACGGUCAAAUGCGCAGAUAUCAGGAAGAACACCAGUGGCGAAGGCUGCUCCCUAGGGCCCACCUGACGCUGAGAGACGACAGCUAGGGGAGCGAACAGGAUUAGAGACCCUGGUAGUCCUAGCCGUAAGCGAUGGAUGCCUCGUGUAGGGCCGUAGAGGCUCUGUGCCGGAGCGAACGCGAUAAGCAUCCCGCCUGGGCGAGUACGCCCGCAAGGCUCAAACUCAAGCGAAUUGAUCGGGGACCCGCACAAGCAGCGGAGCGUGUGGUUUAAUUCGAUGCUACACGAAGAACCUUACCGGGGUUCAGACAUGGGCGUGGUAGUGAAGCGAAAGCGGAGCGACCCUUCGGGGAGCGUCCACAGGUGCUGCAUGGCGCUCGUCAGCUCGUGCCGUGA
rnacentral:rRNA from 1 species